rnacentral:ncRNA from 2 species
GAAGGUGUACGCGACUGGCGUGACGAGGGUGGGAUCGACCACCGGGGAGCGACGAGCCGGCUUGCACCGCGCGCCUGGGUGCCACGG